GCCCCGGUGGCACAACUGGAUAGCGCGGCUCCCUCCUAAGGAGCGGGUUGUAGGUUCGAGUCCUACCCGGGGCGCCA
rnacentral:tRNA from 1 species